rnacentral:rRNA from 1 species
CCUACGGGUGGCAGCAGUGGGGAAUAUUGCGCAAUGGGGGAAACCCUGACGCAGCAACGCCGCGUGGGUGAGGGAGUGUCUCGGUGUGUAAAGCUCUAUCGGCGGGGAAGAAGGAAGACGGUACCCGACUAAGAAGCCCCGGCUAACUACGUGCCAGCAGCCGCGGUAAUACGUAGGGGGCGAGCGUUAUCCGGAUUUACUGGGUGUAAAGGGAGCGUAGACGGCGGCGCAAGUCAGGAGUGAAAGCCCGUGGCUCAACCGCGGAACCGCUUUGGGAACUGCGAGGCUGGAGUGCAGGAGGGGUAAGCGGAAUUCCUGGUGUAGCGGUGAAAUGCGUAGAUAUCAGGAGGAACACCGGUGGCGAAGGCGGCUUGCUGGACAGCGACUGACGUUGAGGCCCGAAAGCGUGGGGAGCGAACAGGAUUAGAUACCCCUGUAGUC